rnacentral:lncRNA from 1 species
CGCCUCGCGGCGUGGCGCCCCGGGCCCCUCGCCCCGCCGCCCCGGGAUCGCGGCCCCGGCCCGCGGACCGCCCUCGCCGCGCUCCUCGCCCCUCGCCCGGCCCCGGCCCCGAUCCCCGCCCCGGCCCCAGCCCGAGCCGCCAGCGCGCAGGUAGCGCCGCCCCGUCCCGAGGCCGGGCCGGGGGCGCGGGGCGGCGGGGUGCGGCGCCCGGGCGGCAAUGACCGCGCAGCGCGCCCGCGGGCCCGGCCCUGAGCCCCGCGGCCCGCGAGCCCCGCCGAGGUGAGCCCCUCCGCGCGCCUCCGAUUCCCGGGGCGGACUGGGAGGGCCGAUUCCGAAGGGCCGGGGGCCGGGGCCGCGGGCGGGGGCGGGGGCCGAGCGUCCGGGUCCCCGCUCCGCGGCGAGGGGCCGCAGGCACCGGCACGCGCCGCCGCGGCUCCCGCCCGGCCCGAGGUCCUGCCCGCGCCCCGCCCCCGCCCCUGCACCCCACGUGGGCCCCCCCAACGCAAAUUUGUCCGCUAAUGGCGCAGGCGAUUAUCUGCGGGGCCGCCGGUGUUGUGUGUCCCGCGGGCAGGGCCCGAGUUACAAGCGCCAGGAAUCCAGACGGUGUUUGGAGGGGGGGCGGGGGAGGUCCGCACUGGCCGAGAUGACGCCGAGCCCCGCGUUAGUGCUGCCGCUGCUGCUGCUGCUGGGGCCCUCCCGCGGCCGCCGCCGCCCGAGGUGAGUGCUGGCGCCCAGCCCGCGCCCCGCCCCGCCCCUGCACCCCACGGGCCCCCAACGCAAAUUUGUCCGCUAAUGGCGCAGGCGAUUAUCUGCGGGGCCGCCGGUGUUGUGUCCUGCGGGCAGGGCCCGAGUUACAAGCGCCAGGAAUCCAGACGGUGUUUGAGGGGGCGGGGAGGUCGGUAAUUAGUGUAAACCCUUUGUCUGCCUUUGAUACCCACGGUUACCCUGCCGCCGCUUCCUCCGCCCGGAGCGCGCCAGGGAAGGCGGGGCGGCCCGCACCUCAGUUCCCCUCGUCCAGGGCCGGGGUGCUGGCGGCCCGGGGCCCUCGGCCCAGGGAGGGAGCAGGGCGGAAAACCAGCCCCCACCCGCACGCAAGUGACC